GGAUGACAUCCGUCAGGAACUUUGCAUAACAAUCAAACAUUGAAGCUGAAGGAACAAUUUUUAAACCCUCCUCAUAAACCUGAAUAGCGCUGCUUAAUUGAUCAACUGUCAUUGCUUCAGUAGUCUCUGGAUUAUUAAGAUCAAUCACUUCCUGUCUUGCAAGCCAAUCCCAAUACUUUGGUUCUUUUGAGAAGUCCCGUUUCAUAUCAGCAAGUAUUUCAUUUCGCAUAUCUUCUGAAUGACCUAAAUCUGUUGCUUCUAGUAUGUCAAGAAACUUUGUUCUUAAACUGAAACUGGAAGGGAGGGCUUUAAUAGAACCACCAUAAACUGUCUGGAGAACACUUAAACCUUGUUUCCUAAACAAAUCUAAUUUUUCCUUAGAGUCUCCGUCGUGAAGGUUGGAUAAUUUGUCUUCCUCUCUUUUAUCAUCAAGGACAAUAAAUAAUUCCUUGUUCUCAUCUCUCCACUGUUCCUCUUUAGCACUAUUGCCAGAACGAGCUAGUGUUCCCUCAUCCUCUCCUAACACAACUUUGCGGGCCUUUAAUUUAUUUAGGUAAGUUAGCUCCAUUCGGAGAUAUUCUACCCAAAGAUCCUCAGAAGUUGGACAUGCUCUCAAGCCGCUAUGCAUUAGGGCACGAGCAGCAGCAGCAUUUAGGUUGUUAUCAAAUUCCCAAGCUGCAGCAUAUAUCCAUACUCCAGGCACCUUAGGAUGAAACCUGAUUACCUGCGCAAGGGCCUUCUUCAUUCGACCGUUCCUUCGCUCCCUACAGAACUCCAAAUACUGAAACCAAAGCUCUAUAUCUCCCUUAAACCUGGUGGUGGCGAGCCUAUAAAUCUCAAUAAUCCUGGAAACUCCAGCAUAAUCUGAAACAGACUUUUUCAGCUUUCUAUCGCCUGUUGUUUUCAUCUGAGCUUUUUUACGUAGAAGUCUUAGAGAAUCGAGACUUUUCUCAUAGUCAAUGUAUGCUACAAAAUCCUGUUUCAAUGGACUAGGUCUCUUCAGCCUGUACUCAAAUUUCCGGCGCUGUUUCACUAUUUCCGCUAUUUCCUGGCGGCUAAAAAGACAGCGUUUUUCAAGGUCGUCGAGCUCAGGGAGCAUACGCUCCAGCUUGUACUGUACAACAUCCGC
rnacentral:misc_RNA from 1 species